CCGGCGAAGAAGUCGGUCAACGGACUGUUAAUCCGCAGGUCCCUGGUUCGAGUCCAGGUCGGGGAGCCA
rnacentral:tRNA from 1 species